CCUACGGGGGGCAGCAGUGAGGAAUAUUGGGCAAUGGGGGCAACCCUGACCCAGCCAUGCCGCGUGAGUGAAGAAGGUCUUCGGAUGGUAAAGCUCGGUCGGACGGGACGAGGAGGACGGUAGCGUCGAAAGAAGCACCGGCAAACUUCGUGCCAGCAGCCGCGGUAAUACGAAGGGUGCGAGCGUUGUUCGGAAUUACUGGGCGUAAAGGGAGGGGAGGCGGUUAGGUAAGAUAGCGGUGAAAUGCCGGGGCUCAACCCCGGAACUGCCAUUAGGACUAUGUAUCUAGAGUAAUGGAGAGGUUAGCGGCAUCCCCCUUGUAGCGGUGACAUUCGUCGCUCUUGGGUAGCACCCCGGUGGCG
rnacentral:rRNA from 1 species